GAUGAAGAACGUAGCGAAACGCGAUAUGUAAUGUGAAUUGCAGAAUUCAGUGAAUCAUCGAAUCUUUGAACGCACAUGGCGCCUUCCAGUAUCCUGGGAGGCAUGCCUGUCCGAGCGUCGUUUCAACCCUCGAGCCCUCGUGGCCCGGCGUUGGGGAUCUGCCACGGCAGGCCCCGAAAUACAGUGGCGGACCCGUUAGGCCCUUCCUUUGCGUAGUAGCAUCAGCCUCGCAUCGGGAGCCGGCGGGCGCUCCUGCCUCUAAACCCCCCAACAAGCCCGCUCCGGCGGCACCAAGGUUGACCUCGGAUCAGGUAGGAAUACCCGCUGAACUUAAGCAUAUCAAUAAGCGGAGGA
rnacentral:misc_RNA from 1 species